UAUUGGUGGUGAGGACAUUGAGAAAGUAGUAGUUUAAAGCGCUCCCAUGCUUCAUGUAUUGGCUCUCCUUCUAUUUGAGUAAAAGUACAAAUCUUGUUUCUUAAAUC